ACGGCCCUGACCAGCCGGCCAUCAGCGUGGAGCCCUUCUCCCCUGAAGCUGGGAGCUUCUCAGCGGGCGAGCGGGAGGACGUGGUGCUGACCUGCCUGGCUCCCUCCAACCCCCCCAGCCGCUACGUCUGGCUGCACAAUGGGUCCCAGGUCCACACCGGCCCCACCUAUGUCCUGGCCGCCAUCGCCCGCGCCCAGGCGGGCACCUACACCUGCCUGGCCGAGAACCCCCACCUCCAGACCCGCACCCAGGCCACCAUCGUCCUCACUGUCUACUAUCCACCGGCCGGGAGCCCCAGCUGCUCUGCUGUGGCCACCGGUGAUCUGCGGGACGUGGCCCUGCAGUGCCGUUGGCCCGGGGGUUUCCCCCCAGUGCAGCUGCGCUGGGUGGGCCCCCAGGAGGAGGAGGAGGAAGAGGGGGUGAUGGGCGCCAGUUUUUCUGUGACUACCAGCAUCCAGCCAGGGGCAACCACCAGGAAUGGCAGCUCCUUCUCCUGCCUGGCCUCCCACCCCGCGCUGCCGCAAGGGGCCGUGUGUGGGACCACCCUGUGGGUCCCAGCCGGUGGCCCCUCCUGCGUGGCGGCGGCCACCAAAGGCGACGAGUACGUGAUGCUGCGGUGCCGGUGGGCGGGGGGGACGCCGCCAGUGACCCUGCGCUGGUGGGACAGUGGGGGCCGGCCCUUGGGUGACCCCGCACCUUUUGCUGCCAUCUUGGUGCUGAGUGCCAAUGGCACGUUGGGGGGCCGGGAUUUCAUCUGCGCUGCCAACCACCCGCUACAGGCCGCUGGCACCGAGUGCCGCCUGCGGCUGGGUAAGCCGAACCCGUCCCCCUCCCUCUCCUUCCCUGCCACCACGGGAUGGGGGGGUCACGCCAGCACCGUUCCCCCCCUCCCCGCUGCGCCCUGUGCGCAGAGGUCCCCAAGCUGGAGGCAGAGAGGAGCGAGGUGGCAGUGCUGGAGGGCGGCGAGGCGCGGCUGGCGUGUCGGCGGCACAGCCACGGGGCCAAUCUUGGUGCUACCGUGGUUUGGUACGACCCCGAGGACCGGGAGGUGACACCGGGGUUGGCCAAAUACCGGUUAGAACGGGGAGAAGAGUGGGUCAACCUCAGCGUCCGUGAUGCCGAGUGGCCGCGGGACAACGGGAUCUACCGCUGCACGGCGGCCAACGCCGUGGGCACCACCAGCCUCCCCGUCCACCUCCGCGUGGACCGGUACCCAGCCCCCCCUAACGUCACCAUCAGCAAGCUGCGGUACACACGGGCGCGCACCGAGGUGCGGCUGGAAUGGCGGACGCAGGGCAGUGGCAACCUCACCGGCUUCGUGGUGCAGCGGCGCCAAGCCAAGAAACCUUCCCGGCGGGUGCCCGGCCCCUGGGAAACAGCCGCUGGCGACAUCGAGCCCCACUCGCGCGACCGGCGCUUGGGGGGGCUGGACCCGGCCGUAAUCUACGCUUUCCGCGUGCUGGCUGUCAACCACCGGACGGCCGGGCACCCCUCCGAGGUGCAGACGCCAGCCGAGCCUCCCUUCGAGGCCUACCCAGCAGUGACGGCGGCAGCGGUGGUGGGGAUGCUGGUGGCCACCGCUGCAUCUCUCCUGGCCGUGCACUGCAUCGCCCGCCACCGCGACACCCUCCCACGGCUGCACGACCUGCUCUUCCGCAUGGCUGCUCCCGGUGCCCAGGAGCCCAUCGGCACACCAGAGGACGCCGAGACGACCGGGGAGGAGGGAGCAGCACCAGGAGAGGCGGCUGCCCCUGGCCCAGCAGCAGGUAACGGCACUCAUAGGGCUGAGGCACCCACCCCAGUGACCCAGCACCCACCCAGAGACUCUCCCCCAUCUCUCCCAGAACCACUCUCAGCACCGCCGGACACCACCGAGGAGCGACCGGUUACCGUCACAGUCACCACACCAGUGACACCGUGACCACGGCGGCUGCUCCUCCUUACUUCCCUUUCCUCUCCCCAUCGCACGUCCCUUUGCGUUAAUAAAGGCAGGAAGGGGGAUGGCUGAAGUCA
ensembl:lncRNA